CAGUCGCCGCGGUAAUACGUAGGGUCCAAGCGUUAAUCGGAAUUACUGGGCGUAAAGCGUGCGCAGGCGGUUGUGCAAGACCGAUGUGAAAUCCCCGGGCUUAACCUGGGAAUUGCAUUGGUGACUGCACGGCUAGAGUGUGUCAGAGGGGGGUAGAAUUCCACGUGUAGCAGUGAAAUGCGUAGAGAUGUGGAGGAAUACCGAUGGCGAAGGCAGCCCCCUGGGAUAACACUGACGCUCAUGCACGAAAGCGUGGGGAGCAAACAGGAUUAGAUACCCCCGUAGUCCCUGUCUCUUAUAC
rnacentral:rRNA from 1 species